GUUGUAUCACGUUAAUGGUUUUGA
rnacentral:snRNA from 1 species